AGGCUCUUACAACUUAUAUGGAACUCCUUGACUUGAAACCACUUCCUGUGACUGCACUUGCAAAUGGAACUUAUGAAGAAUUGUACAGAUACAUACAUUUUAACCCCAUACAGACGAAGGCUUUUGAUGUGCUAUAUCACACGGACCAAAAUGGGGAGAAAAGAAGA